GUCCACGCUGUAAACGAUGGGCACUAGGUGUCCGGGGUAUUGACCCCCUGGGUGCCGCAGCUAACGCAUUAAGUGCCCCGCCUGGGGAGUACGGUCGCAAGAUUAAAACUCAAAGGAAUUGACGGGGGCCCGCACAAGCGGUGGAGCAUGUGGUUCAAUUCGACGCAACGUGAAGAACCUUACCUGGGCUAGACAACGGUGGACCGUCCUAGAAAUAGGACUUUCCCUUCGGGGACUGCCGGUUCAGGUGCUGCAUGGCUGUCGU
rnacentral:rRNA from 1 species